ACAUGUAUAUGUUUGCCUUUCAUUCUUUAUAGGAUUAUCUACCAGUGGAUUAAGAAGAGUUGCGUGAUUAUGUACAGGCCAGGCUAAAGGUUUUCUAUGAGGAAGAGCUAGACGUUCCUCUUGUUCUCUUUAAUGAAGUCCUUCAUCAUGUCCUUUGUAUUGACAGGAUCUUCAAACAGCAACAGAGUCAUUUGUUGCUUAUUGGUGUCAGUGGAGCUGGAAAGACUACACUGUCUAGGUUUGUGGCUUGGAUCAACGGACUAUUAGUGUUUGAAAUAAAAUGACACAAGAGCCAGUUGGUGAAUCUGAAGAAUGGGAUUUAUUUAAAAUACUAGUGAUUGACAGGGGAGCUACUGUGUCUCAGAUAAACUUGAUGUUGAUGAGAUGUUGCUGGUGAACUUGAAGCCUCUAUAGCAAAAUAUAAAGAAGAAUAUGCAAUGGUUAUAUCUGAUGCUAGUGUUAUUAAGAAUGAUUUAUCAACUGUUGAGAAAAGGGUGAGUUCCAUUGCAGUAUUCCACAUUGCAGUAUUUUCCUAAUGAAAAUCUUGAAAAAUCCUACAUUGUGAACUUUGUAAGAACUAACAUUAUCUUGUUAGCUUAAAAUAUUAUGCGG